UGUUAUGGAUGAGCAAAGAAAAUGGUUUCUUGAGAUGGAAGCUACUCCCGGUGAAGAUGCUGUGAA
rnacentral:pre_miRNA from 1 species